CCCUUAGACGUUCUGGGCCGCACGCGCGCUACACUGACCAGUGCAACAAGCAUCCGUCCUUGGCCGACAGGCUCGGGCAAUCUUUGAACGCUGGUCGUGAUGGGGAUAGACUUUUGCAAUUUUUGGUCUUCAACGAGGAAUUCCUAGUAAACGCAAGUCAUCAACUUGCAUUGAUUACGUCCCUGCCCUUUGUACACACCGCCCGUCGCACCUACCGAUUGAAUGGUCCGGUGAAUACUUCGGACCGUUUGCAUAGAUGGUUCGCCAUCUUUGCGAAUGGAAAGUCGAGUGAACCUUACUGCUUAGAUGAAGGAGAAGUCGUAACA
rnacentral:rRNA from 1 species